rnacentral:rRNA from 1 species
GACGAACGCUGGCGGCGUGCUUAACACAUGCAAGUCGAACGGAAAGGCCCUGCUUUUGUGGGGUGCUCGAGUGGCGAACGGGUGAGUAACACGUGAGUAACCUGCCCUUGACUUUGGGAUAACUUCUGGAAACUGGGGCUAAUACCGGAUAGGAGCUCCUGCUGCAUGGUGGGGGUUGGAAAGUUUCGGCGGUUGGGGAUGGACUCGCGGCUUAUCAGCUUGUUGGUGGGGUAGUGGCUUACCAAGGCUUUGACGGGUAGCCGGCCUGAGAGGGUGACCGGCCACAUUGGGACUGAGAUACGGCGCAGACUCCUACGGGAGGCAGCAGUGGGGAAUAUUGCACAAUGGGCGGAAGCCUGAUGCAGCAACGCCGCGUGCGGGAUGACGGCCUUCGGGUUGUAAACCGCUGUCGCCUGUGACGAAGCGUGAGUGACGGUAAUGGGUAAAGAAGCACCGGCUAACUACGUG